rnacentral:lncRNA from 1 species
CCAACGAAAAAGCACCCCAAAAACAUAGCAAUCUUAAGAGAAAUUAUAUAAUACAUCUGAAUACAUAAAUUAUAUUAAUUAAAAAUAUAUAUGAAUACAUUCAUGGAAUACAUCGAGUCAGUGAAUAAAAUAAAAUACAUGUAAUACAUUGAAUUAUGGAAAAAAAGAUAAUGAAUACAAUAAAACAUAUGGAAAUACAGCAAGAUACAUUGAAAUAUAUUAACAAAAAUUCAAGUUGCUCAGCCCCAAAACUCUGUCGUCUUCGUUCCUCUUUUUUUUGCAGCUGCUGUUCGUUCCCUUUUAUUAGGGUGGCAACUAAAGGUUGUUAAUAGAGCGGGGUGCUAUCAACUUUCUUUUUGGAAUUGAAGGAUAAUGAUCCUCUCUUAAGAAGGUGGGUGGAUGAUCAGGUUUGAGAGAGGUGGAGUGCUGGGCAUUCUUGGAGAAAGGGAAUGGGAAGGACGACUGAUGAUCUCUCAAGAAGGAGGACAUCUAUCCUCCAUUGAAGAGAAUGAGAAUGAGAUGGGGCUGCUGGUGGGUGAGAG